GUUCAAUCAAAAUGAAGUUCGGUUCAGCGAUGUCAAUUUUAAGAUGGGUUUGUUUUGAUUUUGUUUCGCAAAUUUGAGAUCACUGAACCGAACUUCAUUUUGCUUGGUGACUUUGCUGGAUAUUUCAAAAGUGACAGUUCUGGGACUUAGCGUUUUUAAAGUUGGUGUUCUGCAUCAUUAUGGCGCACCGAGUUGAUUAACAUCGGAAGCCGACAAGCAACAAAAGUUGUUUUUACGGGGCGUUGCCAUUCAAUACUCUUGAUACCCGUCGAUGGCCCCCCUGGAAGACGAUCGUCCCGCCGGAACCAUCACCCAUCGAAAUGUCCGCCGGUAAAAGGACCGCCGGAAACAAUUGAAUGCGACCGCUGACGGCAUCGCCGGUGAAGGCUAACAGGAAAGGAAGGAAGGAUUACUUGCUCCUUCGAUAAUCCCGGCCGCGGUCAAGCUUGUAGAACCGAUCGAGGUCCCGUUCAGGGUAUCGCUGGCCGCCCUUGGAACGAUAAAUUAUUUUGCGGAAAACAUGAACGAUGAGGAUCAUCAACCCGCUAGUUCACGUUCCGGAUGACCAUUCCGGUCAGGUGCAAUCUGCCGCCCUGCAAAUUCUCUGUUCGAUUAUGGUCUUCGCAACUUGGCGCAGCCGGGAAAGGGGUUUAACGACGGACAAAAUUUGCUAUUGCUUGACUCGACCACGAGUAUCUGCCGUGGUUCCGGAGAUGGGACAGCCGAGAUGCGUAACAGUUGCUCGAAGCCCCGCUCCGGAAAAAUAUUUAGAAAACUUAAAGGUUAGGACCUGAGGUUGGCGGCUGCCAAUCCGUUUGACCGGUAGCAUCGACCUGCUCCUCGAGCGUGGGGCCAUCUGGGCCGACUUUACGCUGGACUUUAUGGACCAGCGUCGGGAUCUGCUGCUGGUUCCGGAACAAGGCAAGUGUGACGCCGACGCGGCCCGCUUUCGAAACACUGGCAACCGGCUCUAUCUGGACGGGAAGUAUGGGGAAGCUUUGGUAUGGUGCUUCGCGGAGAAGGAGUCGGACUAGAUGGCCACGGGAUACGGGAAUCGGUCGGCGGUUCGAGCAGGGCGAGUACGAGUUUGCUCUGUACAACAUCGAUCUGGCCAAGAAGCAUGAUUAUCCAGAAAAGUUGAUGCCGAACUGCGGGUCAGGGAGUUGAACUGCAAGCAGCAGAUUGCCGCUGGCCCUUCGAAGGGCACGGUUCCAAGUCCGCGGAUGGACAUUAAUGUGGACACUAACCCGAAGAUUCCCUUCCUGGACAAGGGAAAAAAGGUUGAUCACCGGCGAAUCCUGGUAGCCGAAAAGGACAUUAAUCCGGGGGACGUAAUUAUGGAUGCGGAACCGCUGCUGACGGCGAUUGACUUCAACUUGUGCUACGAAAACUGCAGCCACUGCGGAGUCAAGUUCAGCAACAGCUUGAUUCCUUGCCCGGACUGCGUCUUCUUCAUGUUCUGUGGAGAGGAGUGUCGGCAGAAGAGCUGGAAGCUGUGGCAUCAAUUCGAAUGUCCGGUGGCCGCUGGAACGUAAUCGUUAUUUUAAUCAUCCGAACCGAUAGCCCGCGCAACCUUGCCACCGAACUCUCCAACGAUGUCGACAAGUGUCACAAGCUAGUCCUCGUCCACCCGUAGUCAAUUCUGUUAAAUUCCGCCAAACCAGAUGUCCCGGGUGGCAAUCCUCCGAUAGGUGGAAACGUUGCUCCUAAUGCUGAAAAUUAUAAUUUAACACAAUUAAAAUUCAAAUAAAAUCACCAAAAAAA
rnacentral:misc_RNA from 1 species